UCUACAUCACCAGUGAUUUAUUAAUUCAAUAAUUUUGAUAAUUUAAAUACUACAAUGAAUGUCUUAUACUUUUGCACAGACUUUUCUAUGGAACUGAUAUGAUAUUAUUUUGUACCCAAUUAUUCCCAGACAUCUUGCAAUAAAGUGCCCUGGCAAGAAAUAUGCAUUAAGAGAUGCUGGAAAAAGAAUUACUGGGGUCCAGACACAGAAGGUUUCACAGAGCAUGGAGCCUGUAGAUUUUUCCAACAAUAAAUUGACCUGUCUUGGAAACGGAUUUUGUGCAUUCAAACCUGGAAAAUCAUGCACUUUAAUUCCACAGUGGCACAGUGCCUGUCUCUAUAGUGAGGAGCACAGGAGGAGCUGGUAAUUUUUCUCAGAAUUGUGGGAGUAUUUUGUAAACAAGUUUUAUCCCUUCCCUUUGAGAAACAGCUGUCAAGAUAUAAUGGAAUGUUUAUGAACAUUGUUUUAAACUUUAAGUAGAUUUAUUAAAUUAUUUAAAUU